rnacentral:lncRNA from 1 species
UAACGCGUAAUACUUUUUAGAAUUCAUCAGGUAGCAAAAAGAGAGAGAGUUUAUAGAGCUUAGGCAACCAGAAUAUUCUAGCGGUGGAAUAUGCACAAUAAUUCAUAGAGUUUGGUCGAUUUGGGCCCGAUGUAAAGAUGAACAAAGUGAAGAAGGCCCAGAGGUCCAAGAGGGAUCUGAACCUUGACCUUUACAAUAAGGUAGCCAUGUUCACUCUACCCACGUAACAAGGGGUCUUGGAAAAGGCCCAACUCAUUGAAGCCCUACAUAAGUAGGGUGAGAGUUUCAGGGCCUUCAUGCCCAACAAGAGACCUAUACCAAUUCUCAGCCAGUAAGAUAGGAAACGAAAGGGGGUACAGCUUGCUCCGUCUUGGACUCCAACUACAACACCAGCAUAAUCUUGCCAACACUGGGACAAAAAUCAUGUUGGCAAGCUCUGUUAAUGUCUCACUCAUGGGUGUUUCAAGUGUGGGAGUCCCUAGCAUAUGAUCUGCGACCGUCCAGAGGCUAAGGGAUAGUCCAAGCCACUGGUGGAAGGUAGAGUGUUUGCCAUCUCUGCACAGGAUGUAGAGGCAGCGCCAUAUGUGGUUCAGGGUAUAUUUUCUACCUCUAAAUAUUCUACUAAGGUUUUAAUUAACUCUGGAUCUAUACACACAUUUGUAUCACACAUAUUUGCAUCAUAUUUGAAUAUCAAUCUUAU